rnacentral:rRNA from 1 species
AGGAGUGGAGCCUGCGGCUUAAUUUGACUCAACACGGGAAAAUUUACCAGGUCCAGACACCGGAAGGAUUGACAGAUUGAUAGCUCUUUCUUGAUUCGGUGGGUGGUGGUGCAUGGUCGUUCUUAGUUGGUGGAGCGAUUUGUCUGGUUAAUUCCGAUAACGAUCGAGACUCUAGCCUGCUAAAUAGGCGUACUUAACCGGUAUCUCGAAGGCUCACAUCUUUCGUAUCAACCGUAAGGUGUUCGUCGAUGUUUCAAACGGUUUCAUAUCGUCUUGGGCAUUUUUCGGCAUCGUGCGGGCGGAAGUUUGUGGUUUUUACUACUGGCGUACAUUUUAAUCUUCUUAGAGGGACAAACGGCUUUUAGCCGUAUGAAAAUGAGCAAUAACAGAUCUGUGAUGCCCUUAGAUGUUCUGGGCCG